rnacentral:tRNA from 1 species
GCCGCGUUCGUCUAACGGUUAGGACGUUAGGUUCUCAACCUAAUAACAGGGGUUCGACUCCCCUACGCGGUACCA